CAGAGAUUGAUGUUUGCAAACACCUGAUAAAAAGAGCAAGAACCAUAAACAGUCCUAUUUAAACAAAUGGUGCGUUUUUCUUUGUUCAUUUAAAAAAUUUGUUGGAAUUAAAGAUUAUAAUUUUCACAUCUUCAAAAAAAAAGAGAUAUGAAAUGGGACCUGCACUAACAUCUCAAACUUAAUAGACUAUUUUUUCCUUUUGACGUUUCCCCACUACACUAGUGAUUCUCAAAUGCAGUCUUUGCACCAACAUCAUCUGGGAAUCUGUUAGAAACACAAAUUCUGGGCAGUCCAAGUGGCUCAGCGGUUUGUCGUCGCCUUCAUUCAGCCCAGGGUGUGAUCCUGGAGACCCGGGAUCGAAUCCCACCUCGGGCUCCUUGCAUGGAGCCUGCUUCUCCCUCUGCCCCUCUCUCUCUCUCUCUGUGUCUCUCAUGAAUAAAUAAAUAAAUAAAAUCUUUAAAAAAAAAAAAAACACAAAUUCUUGGACCUUACCCCAGGCCUCCUGAAUCAGAAACUCUGGGAAUGGGGCUCAGGGACAAGCCUGCAGGUGAUACUGAUGCUUACAUAGGUUUGAGAACUACUGGUCUACAUCAGCCAGGUGUUUACGUAGCUACCGCAAAAGAGAAAGAGCCAUAUUCUUAGUUGUUUGGUCCCAGCACAGGCCAACCUCAAGUCUCCUCACCCUCUCCAUGUUUUACUAGCUCAAAUCAAAAAGAGAGGAGAGUGAAGAUGGCUUUCAAAUGCAAGCCCAUACUUACUCAUAACUGCUGUUAUGCCGUUCCAUCUACCUAAUCCACACGUAGACUUAACAUAGUAGCACAUGAGGCAUCUACACUGUCUCACUCAGCUAAAACUCAAGGACUAAGAGUGCAUAAUGGGGAUGGGAAGUAUUAUUAUUUUUCGUAAGAAGAAUUACAUAGCAAUUGACUCCUAAACCAUGUGUAUGUAUAAUAUCAAUUGCAAUAAUAUCUUUGGUAUUUUCAAAAAAAAGACCCAUUAAGCCCUUCCCUUUUAGAAUGUUCAUUUACAUAUAACAUGUUUUUGUAUACUGAUUGGAAAUAAAAUGUCACUGAAAUUACUGCACUCUCAUAUGGUAAAAAAAAAAUUCACCUCCAAAUAGAGAAGCACAAGAAUAUAUUGUUUUCAGAUUCUUUUUGCUCAGCCUUAAUGCCUGCCUGAUCAAAGAAAUUAUAGCCCUAAAAAUGAGCAAGCCUAUUCUGAAUUAAAACAAUUUUUUUAAAUAAAGAAGAAUGUAAUUAAUGAAUGAAAACACUGUCCCAUGCACAUGCACUGUUUUAUAAUAAGCAUAGUGGGAGGGGAGGUUAUACAUUUUAUUUUUAUUGUUUUAAAAUUUUUAUUUAUUUAUUUGAGAGAGAGAGUGUGUGCGUGUGAGAGCACAAGCAGGGGGAGAGGCAGAGGGAGAGGGAGAAGCAGACCCCUGCUGACCCUGAUGUGGGGCUCCAUCCUAGGACCCUGGGAGCAUGACCUGAGCUAAAGGCAGACACUUAACAGACAGCCACCCAGGCGCCCAAGGUUAUAAAUUAAAAACAAAACAAAACAAACAAAACAAAACAAAACAAAAAAAACACCCAGCUACUGGGACAGCUAGUUAAGAUGUUCAGAGGAUUAGAUAGCAGGGUGAACUGAGGUCAGCAGCAGGAACCUCCAAACAGAUGUGGAAAUGAAACUGGUUUUUGAAGGAUGGAUAUGUAGAGAGUUGGGAAUGAAAAUUCCAGACGGGCAAAUGCCAUGAGCAAAGACUGAAUAUACUUGGCACAUUUGAGGAAUAAUAGAGUAGACCAAUUUAGCUGGAGUAGGACAUCCGUAUGGGAAAAAAUUGGUAGACUGGGCCCAUUUUACUGUGGCCUUAAAUGUCAGGCCCAGGCAUUUGAUUUGUUCUAAGGACAAUGAGGAACCAUUUAAAAUUCUAGGGACAUAAAGGAAGCUGUAUUUUAGGAAGAUCAAUUUGACUAAAUGUGUGGAAUAGGUAACAGCUAGGUUUCUCAAGUUGUAAAAUGUGUAUGAAAUCACCUGGGAUUCCAUUAAAAUGCAGAUUCUGAUUCAGUAGGUCUGGUGUACAGGCUAAGACUCCUUAUUUCUAACACAAUCCCGGUGAUACCCAGACUGUUGGUCCUCAGCACUUUGAGCAAUGGGAGGAUUAGGGUAUGGUUCUAAAUUUGUGAUAUACUCUGAGGUCUAACAUUUGAAAUAGGAAGAGAAAACAUGCCAUAAAGAAAGUAACUUUUUUUUUUUGUAGUACAAGAAGACAUAUCUUAAAAGCUGGUAAAUAAAAAAAAAAAGAAAUAUUAAAAUUAUAUUCUAUUUGCCUUAAAAGAAGGCAGGAAAGGGUGUAGAGGGAAAAAAAAGAAGGCAGGAAAGAAAGAACCAAAGAACAACAAUAGAUUGGACAAAUAGAAAAUAGGCAAACCAUAGUAAUAAUCACAUACAGUGAAAUAAAUGGAUUAGAACCAGACAUAUAUGUGUGAUUAACUGAUUUUUUGACAAAGUCUCAGAAACAAAUCAGUGGAAUCUUCUCAGCAAAUGGUAUUGAAACAAUUGGAUAUUCAUAUGCCCCAUCCCCCCAAAAAGAACCCUGCACCAUGCUAAAAAAUUAACCAAAAAUAAAUCAUGAACCUAAAUGUAAAAUGUAAUAAAACUAUAAAACUUUUGGAGUACCUGGGCGGCUCAGUCAGUUAAGUGUCUGCUUUCGGCACAGGUCAUGGUCCCAGGGUCCUGGAAUGGAGUCCCAUAUCUGGCUCCUUGCUGAGUGGGGAGCCUGCUUCUCCCUCUGC
rnacentral:lncRNA from 1 species